rnacentral:rRNA from 1 species
GACGAACGCUGGCGGCGUGCUUAACACAUGCAAGUCGAACGGAAAGGCCCUGCUUUUGUGGGGUGCUCGAGUGGCGAACGGGUGAGUAACACGUGAGUAACCUGCCCUUGACUUUGGGAUAACUUCAGGAAACUGGGGCUAAUACCGGAUAGGAGCUCCUGCUGCAUGGUGGGGGUUGGAAAGUUUCGGCGGUUGGGGAUGGACUCGCGGCUUAUCAGCUUGUUGGUGGGGUAGUGGCUUACCAAGGCUUUGACGGGUAGCCGGCCUGAGAGGGUGACCGGCCACAUUGGGACUGAGAUACGGCCCAGACUCCUACGGGAGGCAGAUGUGGGGAAUAUUGCACAAUGGGCGGAAGCCUGAUGCAGCAACGCCGCGUGCGGGAUGACGGCCUUCGGGUUGUAAACCGCUUUCGCCUGUGACGAAGCGUGAGUGACGGUAAUGGGUAAAGAAGCACCGGCUAACUACGUG